rnacentral:rRNA from 1 species
GACGAACGCUGGCGGCGUGCCUAAUACAUGCAAGUCGAACGCUGAAGGAGGAGCUUGCUUCUCUGGAUGAGUUGCGAACGGGUGAGUAACGCGUAGGUAACCUGCCUGGUAGCGGGGGAUAACUAUUGGAAACGAUAGCUAAUACCGCAUAAUAGUAGAUGUUGCAUGACAUUUGCUUAAAAGGUGCAAUUGCAUCACUACCAGAUGGCCCUGCGUUGUAUUAGCUAGUUGGUGGGGUAACGGCUCACCAAGGCGACGAUACAUAGCCGACCUGAGAGGGUGAUCGGCCACACUGGGACUGAGACACGGCCCAGACUCCUACGGGAGGCAGCAGUAGGGAAUCUUCGGCAAUGGACGGAAGUCUGACCGAGCAACGCCGCGGGAGUGAAGAAGGUUGUCGGAUCGUAAAGCUCUGUUGUAAGAGAAGAACGAGUGUGAGAGUGGAAAGUUCACAAUGUGACGGUAGCUUACCAGAAAGGGACGGCUAACUACGUG